CGAACGCUGGCGGCGUGCUUAACACAUGCAAGUCGAACGGAAUCCAUGGUGUAGCAAUACACCGGAAGAUUUAGUGGCGAACGGGUGAGGAUCACGUGAGAAACGUGCCCCAGACUCUGGGAUAACAAUUGGAAACGAUUGCUAAUACCGGAUGACGUCGGAGAAUCGCAUGAUUCACUGACGAAAGAUAUUUCGGUUUGGGAGCGUCUCGCGGCCUAUCAGCUUGUUGGUGGGGUAAUGGCCUACCAAGGCAACGACGGGUAGCUGGUCUGAGAGGAUGAUCAGCCACACUGGGACUGAGACACGGCCCAGACUCCUACGGGAGGCAGCAGUGGGGAAUCUUGCGCAAUGGGCGAAAGCCUGACGCAGCAACGCCGCGUGCGGGAUGAAGGCCCUUCGGGCUGUAAACCGCUUUCAGCAGGAACGAAAUGACGGUACCUGCAGAAGAAGGAGCGGCCAACUACGUGCCAGCAG
rnacentral:rRNA from 1 species